GGCAUUUUGAAAAGGCGCUACGAAACCAAUGGCAGUAUUGGGGGGCGUGGACCGUAAGGUUUCGGGUCCAGUUAAGUCAUUUUCAAUCAUAAGGCUGUUCGGUUAGUAAAACGUACAACGUCCAGCGGCCCUGCCUUUACCGUUCGAACUCGGCCAAUUACUUAAUGUAACCCGCGCCGACACCUGAUGAAAUGCGUGACCAGUUACAGCACACGACACGUCAACAGGAGAGCGGUCAUCUCCUGGUGGACAUUUUAUCAUCAUUAUUUUUAGUUUUACUAACGCUAAUUGGCGACAAAGUCGACAAUGGCAUACAGCAGAGCGGCCCCGAGUUGACGAGUCACUGGACUAGGAGAUCAGCGGCAGGCCACGAAAACACCGGGGAAGGGGAGAGGAGCGAAUAGAGCCCGCCGGCGGCGUCCACUCACCCACAUCUGGAUCAAAAGGAUUGGGAGCAAAUAAAGGCAUCUCCGUCUCUUCAGCACAGCCUCAAGCUGCUUCGCCCUUCACACAGUUCAAGAUGUCUUGCUUCCCUACAGA